rnacentral:rRNA from 1 species
CCCAGACUCCUACGGGAGGCAGCAGUCGAGAAUCAUUCACAAUGGGGGAAACCCUGAUGGUGCGACGCCGCGUGGGGGAAUGAAGGUCUUCGGAUUGUAAACCCCUGUCAUGUGGGAGCAAAUUAAAAAGAUAGUACCACAAGAGGAAGAGACGGCUAACUCUGUGCCAGCAGCCGCGGUAAUACAGAGGUCUCAAGCGUUGUUCGGAAUCACUGGGCGUAAAGCGUGCGUAGGCUGUUUCGUAAGUCGUGUGUGAAAGGCGCGGGCUCAACCCGCGGACGGCACAUGAUACUGCGAGACUAGAGUAAUGGAGGGGGAACCGGAAUUCUCGGUGUAGCGGUGAAAUGCGUAGAUAUCAGGAGGAACAUCGGUGGCGAAAGCGCUUUACUGGACCAUUAUUGACGCUGAGGAACGAAAGCCAGGGGAGCAAAUGGGAUUAGAUACCCCUGUA